AGAUACCUUACUGUUGCCUCGGCGGAUCAGCCCGCUCCCGGUAAAACGGGACGGCCCGCCAGAGGACCCCUAAACUCUGUUUCUAUAUGUAACUUCUGAGUAAAACCAUAAAUAAAUCAAAACUUUCAACAACGGAUCUCUUGGUUCUGGCAUCGAUGAAGAACGCAGCAAAAUGCGAUAAGUAAUGUGAAUUGCAGAAUUCAGUGAAUCAUCGAAUCUUUGAACGCACAUUGCGCCCGCCAGUAUUCUGGCGGGCAUGCCUGUUCGAGCGUCAUUUCAACCCUCAAGCCCUCGGGUUUGGUGUUGGGGAUCGGCGAGCCUUUCUGGCAAGCCGGCCCCGAAAUCUAGUGGCGGUCUCGCUGCAGCCUCCAUUGCGUAGUAGUAAAACCCUCGCAACUGGAACGCGGCGCGGCCAAGCCGUUAAACCCCCAACUUCUGAAUGUUGACCUCGGAUCAGGUAGGAAUACCCGCUGAACUUAAGCAUAUCAAA
rnacentral:rRNA from 1 species